AUGCUCACUUUGUCAGCACAUAUACUAAAAUUGGAAUGGUACAGAGAAGAUUAGCAUGGCUCCUGUGUGAGGAUGAUACACACAUUUGUGAAGCAUUCCACAUUUUA